rnacentral:lncRNA from 1 species
UACUAUUGAUGUAUGAAAAAAUUCUGAUGCAAAACAUAAAUGUAAGCAAUUAAUGCAUUAAAAGUAUCUGAAGCAAAAAAUAAAUGUAGGUAAUUAAUGCAUUAAAAUUUUCUCAUGCAAAACAUUAAUUGGAGCCAUUGAUAUAUAUUAGAAUUUUUUCAUUUAGUUAAAUCAUUAUUUUUUUUAGGUAAAUAAGUUGAUGAAAAAAUAAUUGAUGUAGAAUUAUG